GAGCCCUUUACUGACGCUAAAGCUCGAAGGUGCGGGUAUCGAACAGGAUUAGAUACCCUGGUAGUCCGCACGGUAAACGAUGGAUGCCCGCUGUAUGCGAUACAAUGUAUGCGGCCAAGCGAAAGCGUUAAGCAUCCCACCUGGGGAGUACGCCGGCAACGGUGAAACUCAAAGGAAUUGACGGGGGCCCGCACAAGCGGAGGAACAUGUGGUUUAAUUCGAUGAUACGCGAGGAACCUUACCCGGGCUUGAACUGCAGCAGAACGAUUCAGAGAUGAUGAGGCCCUUCGGGGCUGCUGUGGAGGUGCUGCAUGGUUGUCGUCAGCUCGUGCCGUGAGGUGUCGGCUUAAGUGCCAUAACGAGCGCAACCCCUUUCGCCAGUUGCCAUCAGGUGAUGCUGGGCACUCCGGCGACACUGCCACCGCAAGGUGUGAGGAAGGUGGGGAUGACGUCAAAUCAGCACGGCCCUUACGUCCGGGGCUACACACGUGUUACAAUGGGUGGUACAGAGAGUCAGGCGUUGGCAACACCGCCUUAAUCCAUAAAGCCAUCCUCAGUUCGGAUUGGGGUCUGCAACCCGACCCCAUGAAGCUGGAUUCGC
rnacentral:rRNA from 1 species